rnacentral:misc_RNA from 1 species
CAACCCUCAAGCUUCUGCUUGGUAUUGGGCUUUCAUCCUGUCUAAAGGAUGUGCCUAAAACUCAUAGGCGGUUGUACUCAACUCCCUUGCGUAGUUAAAUUUUUUCUCGCUUGGAAGAUUAGGUGCAACCCGCCUAAGAACCCCCUAAUUUUUAAAG